GACGAACCGUGCGAACGUUGUUCGGAAUCACUGGGCUUAAAGGGCGCGUAGGCGGGCCAUAAAGUCAGGGGUGAAAUCCUCCAGCUUAACUGGAGAACUGCCUUUGAUACUGAUGGUCUCGAGUAAGGUAGGGGCAUGCGGAACUGAUGGUGGAGCGGUGAAAUGUGUUGAUAUCAUCAGGAACUCCGGUGGCGAAGGCGGCAUGCUGGACCUUCACUGACGCUGAGGCGCGAAAGCUAGGGGAGCGAACGGG
rnacentral:rRNA from 1 species